rnacentral:rRNA from 1 species
GUAGUUGAUCAGUGCUACAGAACGAACGCUGGCGGCAGGCCUAACACAUGCAAGUCGAGCGAGAUCUUCGGAUCUAGCGGCGGACGGGUGAGUAACGCGUGGGAACGUACCUUUGCUACGGAAUACGCCCCGGAAACGUGGGAGUAAUACCGUAUGUCGCCCCCGAUGUAAGAAUUGGGGGGGAAAGAUUUAUCGGCAAAGGAUCGGCCCGCGUUGGAUUAGGUAGUUGGUGGGGUAAUGGCCUACCAAGCCGACGAUCCAUAGCUGGUUUGAGAGGAUGAUCAGCCACACUGGGACUGAGACACGGCCCAGACUCCUACGGGAGGCAGCAGUGGGGAAUCUUAGACAAUGGGGGCAACCCUGAUCUAGCCAUGCCGCGUGAGUGAUGAAGGCCCUAGGGUUGUAAAGCUCUUUCAGCUGGGAAGAUAAUGACGGUACCAGCAGAAGAAGCCCCGGCUAACUCCGUG